ensembl:lncRNA novel transcript
UGCCCUUCAAGUGUAUUUUAUCCGUGCCCCAGUUUUGCAGAUGAGGAGACUCGGACUUAAACCUCCCCAGCAUUAAGGCAAGAAAGGUGUCUCUGUUUUUUCCGAAGUGUGCCUGCUUGACUCCUUUGAUUUUUCUCUGGGAUUCUUCAUCCUCCAUCAAGUUGAUCGAUCCCUCUGGAUCUUGGUCAGUUUCCUGACAUCUCUAUGAAGUUCAGUGACCCAGACUGAGUCCACGUCUCAAAUAAGGUUCUGACUAAUGCAGAGUCUAACAGAAAGAUUACUGAACAUGUCAUGCACUAUUAAUAA